rnacentral:rRNA from 1 species
CUUAUGAAGAGUUUGAUCAUGGCUCAGAUUGAACGCUGGCGGCAGGCCUAAUACAUGCAAGUCGUGCGGUAACAGGGGAGAAGCUUGCUUCUUCUGCUGACGAGCGGCGGACGGGUGAGUAAGGUCCGGGAAGCUGCCCUGCAGAGGGGGACAACGUCUGGAAACGGGCGCUGAUACCGCAUAAACCCCGAGGGGGAAAGGGAGGGCAACCUUCCGCUGCAGGAUGUGCCCGGACUGGAUUAGCUUGAGGGCGGGGUAACGGCCCACCCUGGCGACGAUCCAUAGCCGGUCUGAGAGGAUGACCGGCCACAUCGGGACUGAGACACGGC